GGGUGGGGGAACGCGGAGCGUGCUUCCCAUCUGCCUCCGAAAGCUCCCGCCCCACGUUGCCUUUGAAAUUUUAGCUUAUUCUGUGACACCUGCCGCCAGGUGGGACAUCCGCCCCCUCCUCUUUCAGGAGCGUCUUUCUGCACAGUCCCAGGACAGAAUGUGGGGGCACUCAGGCUCGGGAAAGCUCAAGAGUACAGUCUCAUCGUUUCAGAGAUGUAGCCCCUGCCUACUACACAUAGGGUCCAGCCACACAGAGGCUCGACAAAUGCUUUGAACUCAAUGAACGAAGCGCUUUCAUAUUAUUUUAAACCUCGUUUGAAGCCCCACAAGAGUCCUGAGAAAGAAAGGAAUAGGACGCCUAUUUUCCGGAUUCAGAACAAGAAAGACACACAGACUAACGACACACCCUCUCGUUGCCUGCACAGCCCCACUUGGAACUCUACGGCAGAGCAGAAGCUCCAUGAGAUCAGAAGACCCGCGGAAUUUCCACUCGCACCAUUGUGCCCCCAGCACCUAGCAGAUCUUGACAGAACAGAGACUGAAUAUCUGUUCAAAUAAGGGAGGAAGGAGCCAACCCAGACACCAUCAUGCAACUCCACGCACCCCAACUCUAUCUUUCUCCAAAACAUCAGUGUGUGAACCGGCAUGAUCAUCAAGGAUGUUCCUAACGAAGAGGGAGGACAGUAAGAACAAGGUGUUGGAGGUCAACACCAAACAGUGAUAAGUCAUGUUGAUGUCUGAGAAACUGCCACAGCCCAGAGGAACCUAAGGGGUCGUGAGAUAAAUGCUAAGUGGCAUCCUGGAUGGGAUCCUGGCAUAGAAAAAAGACAUCAGGUAAAAACUAAGGAAAUUUGAAUGAACUAUGAACUUUAGCUACUAACAGUGUAUCAUUAUUUAACAAAUGUAUCAUGUUAAUAUAAUAUGUUAAUAAUAGAGGAGAGAGGGUGGGUGGGGGAUAAAGAAUUUUGUAUUAUCUUCACAAUUUUUCUAUAAAUGUAAAAGUGUUCUAAAACAUAAGGUUUAUUUUUUAAAACACGGCACAAGGCUUCGUUUAUUUACACUUUGGAGUGUCAAAGCCAUUACACUGCCUACCUUGAAAAUGGAAUUUCCUCAAUGGAUUAAAAUAAAUAUUCAUUUAUCCUACAGUUUUAAUAUGUUCUGCAUCCAGGAGUUAAAUUGAUCAAUAAAAGUUGGCUACCAAUUACUUAGGUCAAUGUCUUAUGAACUCAGCGUCAAAAACGCAGCAUCGUUAAUUUGUAUGUAGUUGUAAUACAAACAAGGAAAGACGACUGGUUCCUUGAUCAUUUUAACUUCGAUGAAAAUACCUGUAAUGAAAGAAAUCCACAUAGAGCAGAUAUCAACCCUAAUGCUUGCAUUUUGCUUGCCUAAAAUUGUUUAGUACAGAACGACUUAUAUUGUUGUGUAAUUGGAACAAUUUUGUUCUCCUUAAAUAAAAUACCAGCCAAAGAUCAUUCAGGCUGCAACUGACAAAA